ACCUUUCACUUCCGGGGGAAUCCCGCUAUGUAGAACGUCGCAGAGACUGAGAGAGUGUCACGGUGCAAAAAACGAUCAAUGGCUCUCAGGUAUAUAUAUAAAUAACUCCGAUCGGGGGGAAAAACUUAAGAUCGCUUGUUUACAAAGCUUGGAGGAUGAAUUCGGUAAAGUUUGGAAUCGUCUGCGGAGAAGUGACACACUAAAAUCUCAAUACAUUCUGCGAUCGCGAGACAUGAGAGUGAAUUGUCGGAGGGUCGCUUUCCUGAUUUUGGUGUCUUACUUCGUGAUCUCUUGUUACACCGGCUUUCUGUUGAUUCAAAGACGCAGGGCUCUGGCGACAUAUGAAAACCAACGGAUCCAAGUACUGACAGGUACUUUUCAUUCAUAAAUCGUCUCAAAAAUUAAAGUGGGGGCUGGGGGGGGGGGGAGGGGGGGUUGACCAUCAAUGAUUUCUUAUCACUUACAGUACGUAACAAAAAGAUAAGGUGAAAUUUAUUAAAAGGACGCAAUAAUAAUUUGUGACAUAUUGAAGCAAUAUUUGGAAUAUAAGUAUAAGUUUAAGGAAAUAUAAUUUUUUUUUAAAUACAUGGAUUAUAUUAAAUCUAUCUUUUCCACUUUUGUACUGAUUUUGUACUUUCAAAAGAUACAAUUCAUACUGAGGAAUGCAGAGGGUAUACAUUACAAGUGAGAAAUUAAGUAAUUUAUGGGUUAGAUAUCAGAUCACCCUUUGGUCAAUAUUCAAUGCAUUGUUCAUUUUAGACUUCACCUUGGCUAGAUGCCUUGGGUGUAAGAAUCAAUAAGAUAAAGCUGAUCUGUAUAUACCCCCAGCUCAAUCCCAUUAUAUCACCAAACCUUUGUCCACUAAGGUCGGUUUGCCAGUAUUUAAACUGGCCACUGCAAGAUUAUGAAAGUCAUUGUGAAGUGACUAAAUUAAGUCCUAAAUCUCUGGGUCUAAUUUCUAAAUACGGUUCUCUCAGAAUUUUAUUUAUUAUAUACAGUUAUCUGUAGAUUACGUAUAUAAAUUUCAUGUUAGUAUAUGGCUGGUGCUUUGAGUUUACAAAAACCUUUCUUAAGUAUAGCAUUAAUGAGUAAUUAACUGAUGUAAAAUUAAUAAAAAGAGAAACAUUUUUAAUUUCAUAAUUGAUCAUUGAUCCCAGCUUAACUACCCGGUAUAAUUGCAAAUAUAUGGUCAAGGAAUUAGGAAUCUACAACCAUUGAAAAACUCAGUAAUAUCAGUUAAUUUUUUAUAACUUUAAAUUCAAGGAUUCUGU
rnacentral:misc_RNA from 1 species